ACGGGAGGCAGCAGUGGGGAAUAUUGGGCAAUGGGCGAAAGCCUGACCCAGCAACGCCGCGUGAGGGAAGAAGGUUUUCGGAUUGUAAACCUCUGUCCUCAGGGACGAAGGACGUGACGGUACCUGAGGAGGAAGCCCCGGCUAACUACGUGCCAGCAGCCGCGGUAAUACGUAGGGGGCGAGCGUUGUCCGGAAUGACUGGGCGUAAAGGGCGUGUAGGCGGCUUUUUAAGUCUGGAGUGAAAGCCCCUUUUUCAAGGAGGGGAGUGCUUUGGAGACUGGAGAGCUUGAGUGCGGAAGAGGUAAGUGGAAUUCCCAGUGUAGCGGUGAAAUGCGUAGAGAUUGGGAGGAACACCAGUGGCGAAGGCGACUUACUGGGCCGUAACUGACGCUGAGGCGCGAAAGCGUGGGGAGCGAACAGGAUUAGAUACCCUGGUA
rnacentral:rRNA from 1 species